rnacentral:snoRNA from 1 species
AGCUCUAUGAUUUCCUGCCUUAUUAUAAGGCGAUAUACGCUAUUCUGACAGGGAAUAUGAACAGAUAAUUGUUUCGAGUAUGAGAGCU